GAUGAACGCUGGCGGCGUGCCUAAUACAUGCAAGUCGAGCGAACAGACGAGGAGCUUGCUCCUCUGACGUUAGCGGCGGACGGGUGAGUAACACGUGGAUAACCUACCUAUAAGACUGGGAUAACUUCGGGAAACCGGAGCUAAUACCGGAUAAUAUAUUGAACCGCAUGGUUCAAUAGUGAAAGACGGUUUUGCUGUCACUUCUAGAUGGAUCCGCGCCGCAUUAGCUAGUUGGUAAGGUAACGGCUUACCAAGGCGACGAUGCGUAGCCGACCUGAGAGGCUGGUCGCCCACCCUGGAACUGAGCCACGGUCCAGACGCCUACGGGAGGCAGCAGUAGGGAAUCUUCCGCAAUGGGCGAAAGCCUGACGGAGCAACGCCGCGUGAGUGAUGAAGGUCUUCGGAUCGUAAAACUCUGUUAUUAGGGAAGAACAAAUGUGUAAGUAACUGUGCACGUCGUGACGGUACCUAAUCAGAAAGCCACGGCUAACUACGUG
rnacentral:rRNA from 1 species